UCCUUGGUGGCUCAGUGGUAAAGAAUCUGCCUGCCAAGCAGGAGAAUCAGGUUCGAUCCCUGGGUCGGGAA
rnacentral:tRNA from 1 species